UCGCAUGAUCACCUACUUCAGUGAAUUUAUCGGGGUCUUGGGUAAAGAUCUGAACGACAUAAUAAUGUUUUGAGCUUUCUGAGCAGAGUAUAACAUCGGGAGAUGUUUAGAAGACAUGAACAAAGCCUUCAGCUCUCGCAUUUUGCACACACUGACUCUCUCUCCCCGACUCCCUCUACAUUCAUACAAGCUAGGGCUUUCGCCUCUUGCUCCCCUCCUCGUCUCCUUUGGAUUAGAUAAGAACCGAAGUCCCUAUCUCUGGCACUCUGAUUCGAAACUGAUCCCACCUUUCUCCAAACUUUUGAAACUCCCUCUCCCCAUGAUAUCUCAUUCGUGAAGCCCAAAGUCGAUCAAGAUCCUCUUCCCCUGUCUCUUCUGGGUUUGUGAGAUACUCAGCUUCACUCAACACAAGGCGAGAUCCCCUCUCCCUCUCGCACUCGAGCCAGAACCUAAACUCCUCCAUUCUAUCUUUGUUUGGGUUUGCAGAAGCAAGGGGGCCGUAUCCCCUUUCGUUUCUUCUGGUUCGCGAACCCCAAAAGGAGCCGACCUCUAGUCUCCUUUCCUCUCUCCCGGGGAUGCUGUUUGUUAGCCCAAGAGAAGACCAAUGCUAGCCUCCUCCUUUACCUUUAGUUUGGACAAGGCUGACUGCCUGCUCCCGUCAAGCCCUAGCCCUCGUCCGUCCCUAGUGACUGAAGCUUCUUCGCCGAUCCUUCUUCUCGCAGGAAGAAGAGUUUUGAAAGAGUCACUAAAGAAGCUUCGCCUUCUUCUAGGACUUUGUUCCUAUCUGAUCGAAAAUCAUGACAGAAGAUGGCCAUGACUUUGCGUGCUUUGCAUGAAGAGUUUCAAACUUCUUCGCCUUCUUCUAUGAUGUUUUCCUUGUCAUAUUGGAAGUCACGGUAGGAGCUCAUCAUGAAGGUGACAGCGGGAGCUUGCGGCGAAGUUUGAUAUUGUUGAACUUUGAUCAAAGAAAUAUAUUGGCAAAGGAAUCAAAUGUCUUAAGAUGAAAAGUUUUAUGCAGACUUUUUAUGAGAAUCGACCUUCUUAGCAAAAUCAUCCCCAAAGAGGAACAAAGAAUUUAUUCCAGCUGAAUCAGACAUUUCUUCCAUGAUUCUUGUAUUUAUUUUAGUUCAUGCUCUAUGUUUGAACUAGAUUAAAGUGUCUUCGGAUCUAUAUAUUUAUUUUGUUUAUACUUAAUUAUUUAAUUUUUUAGAAGUGUUUCCUAAACAACAUUCACAACUCAUUCCGAUAUUUACAUUUUUACCUCUGUUUAGC